UACGUAGGGUGCGAGCGUUAAUCGGAAUUACUGGGCUUAAAGCGUGCGCAGGCGGUUUUGUAAGCCAGAUGUGAAAUCCCCGGGCUUAACCUGGGAAUGGCAUUUGGGACUGCAAGGCUUGAGUGCGGCAGAGGAGACUGGAAUUCCUGGUGUAGCAGUGAAAUGCGUAGAUAUCAGGAGGAACACCGAUGGCGAAGGCAGGUCUCUGGGCUGACACUGACGCUCAUGCACGAAAGCGUGGGGAGCAAACAGG
rnacentral:rRNA from 1 species